GAUGAACGCUGGCGGCGUGCCUAAUACAUGCAAGUCGAGCGAACGGACGAGAAGCUUGCUUCUCUGAUGUUAGCGGCGGACGGGUGAGUAACACGUGGAUAACCUACCUAUAAGACUGGGAUAACUUCGGGAAACCGGAGCUAAUGCCGGAUAAUAUUUUGAACCGCAUGGUUCAAAAGUGAAAGACGGUCUUGCUGUCACUUAUAGAUGGAUCCGCGCUGCAUUAGCUAGUUGGUAAGGUAACGGCUUACCAAGGCAACGAUGCAUAGCCGACCUGAGAGGGUGAGCGGCCACACUGGAACUGAGACACGGUCCAGACUCCUACGGGAGGCAGCAGUAGGGAAUCUUCCGCAAUGGGCGAAAGCCUGACGGAGCAACGCCGCGUGAGUGAUGAAGGUCUUCGGAUCGUAAAACUCUGUUAUUAGGGAAGAACAUAUGUGUAAGUAACUGUGCACAUCUUGACGGUACCUAAUCAGAAAGCCACGGCUAACUACGUG
rnacentral:rRNA from 1 species